AACGAACGCUGGCGGCAUGCCUAACACAUGCAAGUCGAACGAGACCUUCGGGUCUAGUGGCGCACGGGUGCGUAACGCGUGGGAACCUGCCUUUAGGUUCGGAAUAACUCCCCGAAAGGGGUGCUAAUACCGGAUAAUGUUUUCGGACCAAAGAUUUAUCGCCUUUGGAUGGGCCCGCGUUGGAUUAGCUAGUUGGUAGGGUAAAAGCCUACCAAGGCGACGAUCCAUAGCUGGUCUGAGAGGAUGAUCAGCCACACUGGGACUGAGACACGGCCCAGACUCCUACGGGAGGCAGCAGUGGGGAAUAAUGGACAAUGGGCGAAAGCCUGAUCCAGCAAUGCCGCGUGAGUGAUGAAGGCCUUAGGGUUGUAAAGCUCUUUUACCCGGGAUGAUAAUGACAGUACCGGGAGAAUAAGCUCCGGCUAACUCCGUG
rnacentral:rRNA from 1 species